rnacentral:rRNA from 1 species
AGUGAACGCUGGCGGUAGGCCUAACACAUGCAAGUCGAACGGCAGCACAGUAAGAGCUUGCUCUUACGGGUGGCGAGUGGCGGACGGGUGAGGAAUACAUCGGAAUCUACUUUUUCGUGGGGGAUAACGUAGGGAAACUUACGCUAAUACCGCAUACGACCUACGGGUGAAAGCAGGGGAUCUUCGGACCUUGCGCGAUUGAAUGAGCCGAUGUCGGAUUAGCUAGUUGGCGGGGUAAAGGCCCACCAAGGCGACGAUCCGUAGCUGGUCUGAGAGGAUGCGCAGCCACACUGGAACUGAGACACGGUCCAGACUCCGACGGGAGGCAGCAGUGGGGAAUAUUGGACAAUGGGCGCAAGCCUGAUCCAGCCAUACCGCGUGGGUGAAGAAUGCCUUCGGGUUGUAAAGCCCUUUUGUUGGGAAAGAAAAGCAGCAGGUUAAUACCCCGCUGUUCUGACGGUACCCAAAGAAUAAGCACCGGCUAACUUCGUG